rnacentral:rRNA from 1 species
UAACACGUAGGGGGCAAGCGUUGUCCGGAUUUAUUGGGCGUAAAGAGCUCGUAGGUGGCUCGGUUAGUCGGGUGUGAAAUUCCGAGGCUCAACCUCGGAACGCCACUCGAUACUGCCAUGGCUAGAGUCCGGUAGAGGAGCGUGGAAUUCCUGGUGUAGCGGUGAAAUGCGCAGAUAUCAGGAGGAACACCAGCGGCGAAGGCGGCGCUCUGGGCCGGUACUGACACUGAGGAGCGAAAGCGUGGGGAGCAAACAGGAUUAGAUACCCUGGUAGUCCACGCCGUAAACGAUGGGCACUAGGUGUGGGGAGCUGUCAACGCUUUCCGUGCCGUAGCUAACGCAUUAAGUGCCCCGCCUGGGGAGUACGGCCGCAAGGCUA